AGCAGAUUCCCACUGUUUAUCCACUGUUUGUGUUGAUCUAGUGUUUGGCCAGCCAGUUGUGUGUUUUGGGGGCUCAGACCAGCAGAUUCCCACUGUUUAUUCACUGUUUGUGUUGAUCUAGUGUUUGGCCAGCCACUUGUGUGUUUUGGGGGCUCAGACCAGCAGAUUCUCACUGUUUAUUCACUGUUUGUGUUGAUCUAGUGUUUGGCCAGCCACUUGUGUGUAUGUAGGGGACUCAGACCAGCAGAUUCCCACUGUUUAUCCAUUGUUUGUGUUGAUGCAGUGUUUAGCCAGCCACUUGUGUGUAUGUAGGGGACUCAGACCAGCAGAUUCCCACUGUUUAUCCACUGUUUGUGUUGAUGCAGUGUUUGGCCAGCCACUUGUGUGUAUGUAGGGGACUCAGACCAGCAGAUUCCCACUGUUUAUUCACUGUUUGUGUUGAUGCAGUAUUUGGCCAGCCACUUGUGUGUAUGUAGCGGACUCAGACCAGCAGAUUCCCACUGUUUAUCCACUGUUUGUGUUGAUGCAGUGUUUGGCCAGCCACUUGUGUGUUUUGGGGGCUCAGACCAGCAGAUUCCUACUAUUUAUCCACUGUUUGUGUUGAUCUAGUGUUUGGCCAGCCACUUGUGUUUAUGUAGGGGACUCAGACCAGCAGAUUCCCACUGUUUAUCCACUGUUUGUGUUGAUCUAGUGUUUGGCCAGCCAUUUGUGUGUUUUGGGGGCUCAGACCAGCAGAUUCCCACUGUUUAUUCACUGUUUGUGUUGAUCUAGUGUUUGGCCAGCCACUAGUGUGUUUUGGGGGCUCAGACCAGCAGAUUCUCACUGUUUAUUCACUGUUUGUGUUGAUCUAGUGUUUGGCCAGCCACUUGUGUGUAUGUAGGGGACUCAGACCAGCAGAUUCCCACUGUUUAUUCACUGUUUGUGUUGAUGCAGUAUUUGGCCAGCCACUUGUGUGUAUGUAGCGGACUCAGACCAGCAGAUUCCCACUGUUUAUCCACUGUUUGUGUUGAUGCAGUGUUUGGCCAGCCACUUGUGUGUUUUGGGGGCUCAGACCAGCAGAUUCCUACUAUUUAUCCACUGUUUGUGUUGAUCUAGUGUUUGGCCAGCCACUUGUGUUUAUGUAGGGGACUCAGACCAGCAGAUUCCCACUGUUUAUCCACUGUUUGUGUUGAUCUAGUGUUUGGCCAGCCACUUGUGUGUUUUGGGGGCUCAGACCAGCAGAUUCCCACUGUUUAUUCACUGUUUGUGUUGAUCUAGUGUUUGGCCAGCCACUAGUGUGUUUUGGGGGCUCAGACCAGCAGAUUCUCACUGUUUAUUCACAGUUUGUGUUGAUCUAGUGUUUGGCCAGCCACUUGUGUGUAUGUAGGGGACUCAGACCAGCAGAUUCCCACUGUUUAUUCACUGUUUGUGUUGAUCUAGUGUUUGGCCAGCCACUUGUGUGUAUGUAGGGGACUCAGACCAGCAGAUUCCCACUGUUUAUCCAUUGUUUGUGUUGAUGCAGUGUUUGGCCAGCCACUUGUGUGUAUGUAGGGGACUCAGACCAGCAGAUUCCCACUGUUUAUCCACUGUUUGUGUUGAUGCAGUGUUUGGCCAGCCACUUGUGUGUAUGUAGGGGACUCAGACCAGCAGAUUCCCACUGUUUAUUCACUGUUUGUGUUGAUGCAGUGUUUGGCCAGCCACUUGUGUGUAUGUAGGGGACUCAGACCAGCAGAUUCCCACUGUUUAUCCACUGUUUGUGUUGAUGCAGUGUUUGGCCAACCACUUGUGUGUUUUGGGGGCUCAGACCAGCAGAUUCCUACUAUUUAUCCACUGUUUGAGUUGAUCUAGUGUUUGGCCAGCCACUUGUGUUUAUGUAGGGGACUCAGACCAGCAGAUUCCCACUGUUUAUCCACUGUUUGUGUUGAUCUAGUGUUUGGCCAGCCACUUGUGUGUUUUGGGGGCUCAGACCAGCAGAUUCCCACUGUUUAUUCACUGUUUGUGUUGAUCUAGUGUUUGGCCAGCCACUAGUGUGUUUUGGGGGCUCAGACCAGCAGAUUCUCACUGUUUAUUCACUGUUUGUGUUGAUGCAGUGUUUGGCCAGCCACUUGUGUGUAUGUAGGGGACUCAGACCAGCAGAUUCCCACUGUUUAUCCAUUGUUUGUGUUGAUGCAGUGUUUGGCCAGCCACUUGUGUGUAUGUAGGGGACUGAGACAAGUUUAUUUAAUGUUCAGUGACCCAUUUGCAGGCACAGGGGUGUUGAGGAGCUGGGUGUGCAGGAGACAGACAAUUACAAAGGUUUACAGUUCAAAUGCUACAUGUAUCUUCAAAAUACAGAUAAUAAGUAGAUAAAUAUUGAAAUUAAUAUAAAAUACCAUUCUUUAUUUAACACUUAACCAAACUUAACCAACAUACACACACACGCUAACUCAGACAGUUCCCUAACUACCUUACCAUCCCGCAGGAGGCCAUGUCGGAGGUGCCGGUGGUGGGGUCGCCAGUUCCGGAGUACGAGGUGGAGGAGGAAAAGGAAGAGGAGGACGAGGAGGAGGCACGGAUAAGGAAGAAGAAAAGAUUAUUACCUGUAGCCCUCCCUCCAGCUGAUAAGGGGAUAUUAAGGAGCCCUUCCUACAGGUUCGUUCGAUGCAAGGAGUUGGCACAGGAGGCGUCCGAGGCUGUGUAGAGCGGCCGUCUGAACCUGGUGCCACAGCUUACUAUGUUCAACAGAUGCCUGAAGGAAGUGUGUGUAAGGGAGGAUAAAGAGAUCAUGCUGGCCUAUGCAGACGAUGUCGCUGUCGUGACAGGAACCCAACAAGAUCUUCAAGAGGCCAUGACAAGAUGGAAUGAUGUUUUAAAUAGGGAAGGAAUGAGAAUGAACAAACAAAAAACAGAAAUAAUGAAAGUUGGCAGAAUAAAGGAGGAAUGUAAUAUUUACAUAGAAAACGUUAAACUGAAGCAGACCAACAAAUUUUGUUAUCUGGGAGUACUUUUCGAUGAGGAAAACAGACAGAAUAUAGAAAUUUUAAAUAGAAUACAGAAGUACAAUGCAAAUGUCAGUGCAUUGUAUCCCAUACUUAAAGAUAAGAAUAUUCCAACAAAAGUUAAAACCAUAAUAUUUACAACAAUACUAAGACCAGUACUUCUAUAUGUUUCAGAAACUUGGACAGUGACAACAAGAACAUCUUCACAAAUACAAGCAGCAGAAAUGAGAGUUCUGAGAAUGAUCCGAGGUGUGACCAGACUUGAUAGAAUUAGAAAUGAAGAAACCAGAGAGAGAUUAGGGAUAACAUCUGUACUGAAGAUAAUUGAAAAGAACAAAUUGAGAUGGUAUGGACAUGUCCGAAGAAUGGAAGAUACAAGAUACGCAAGGAAGUUUCUGGAAUGGGUUCCUCUAGGCAGGAGGCCGGUGGGACGACCUAGGAAGCGAUGGAUGCAGGGAGUUGAAGAAGCUACUGAACGAAGAGGAAGAAAUCUACAAGAAAUAACCAGAGAUGAGGAUUUCAUGGAUAGAGACCUUUGGAGAAGAUUUGUAGAGGCCGGACACUGACAGGCAUUGCCUACCUUGCGUCUGCUGAGAAAGUAACUGUAGGAAGAAUGCAGGAAAUGGAGGAGGAGGAGGAGGAGGAGGAGGAGAAAAUGAGUAGAAAACAAGAAAAUUAGAAUAAGCAGAUGGAAUAAAGAGGAAGAAGAAGAAGAAAAGGAGGAAGAAGAAGAGAAGGAGGAAGAGGAGGAAGAAAAGGAGGAGGAGGAGGAAGAAGAAGAAAAAUAAUCACAUUAAGCUGGAGAGGAAAGCAAGAAUAAGCAGGAAGGAGGAGGAGGAGGAGGAGGAGGAGGAGGAGGAGCAGCAGGAGGAGGAAGAGGAGGAGGAGGAGGAAGGCUAAGCAGGAGAUACCCUCCCUUGCUCUAGUUCAGCAGGAGGCAUGGCCGGAGGAGGAGGAGGAGGAGGAGGAACAGCUUUUUUGGGAGUUCUUAAAGAUCGCGUACCUUGAGGCUGCUCCUCCUCCUCCUCCUCCUCCUCCUCCUCCUCCUCCUCCUCCUCCUCCUCCUCCUCCUCCUCUCUCUCUCUCUCUCUCUCUCUCUCUCUCUCUCUCUCUCUCUCUCUCUCUCUCUCUCUCUCUCUCUCUCUCUCUCUCUCUCUCUCUCUCUCUCUCUCUCUCUCUCUCUCUCUCUCUCUCUCUCUCUCUCUCUCUCUCUCUCUCUCUCUCUCUCUCUCUCUCUCUACAGCCUACAGACUCACUAUUUGCUUAACCACACCUCUUGCCUGAAACAAAUGAAAAACUUUUAUCCUUCUCCAAUCACAUUUCAAUUUUGUACUUAGUCACAAUCACACAGUAUAUGUUGUUAAUUUCAACUUUACAACAAGGUGACAACAUUUCAUCUAUUUAUACAUACUUUUUAUUAUUAAAGCUUAUCUUAUAAUUAUUUCUGAAGAGAUUGACUAAUUUUUGUAGUAUUUAUGACUUAGAACUAUGAUAAAGCUAUGAAUUGAUAUAAUUCCUGAUUUGUUUUAUCUUUUCAUUAUACUUCCUUUGUUAAUUGAGCAUUUUAUAUUACUUAGCUUAAAAAUGCAAGAACGGUUCAGAAGUAUCCAACCUUGGGCUAAGGGCCAAAAUUAUGGUAUCAUUCAAAAUGUCCUUCAAAGAAAGCCCUCUGUAAUCCAACACACUUAGCCCAUUAAUCCUUCCAUUUCUCAUCAAUUUGUUCAACAUACAUAUUUUUCCCUUAUAGGGUUGAACAAUUUUCAUGGGUUCAGAGCAAAAGGCUUCCUCAUUCCUCCCCAAGGUACUCUCGGAUGGUAAGCAGGUUUGACUCUGGAGCAAACCUGACCAAGGGCUACUGCCCAAGGCUACAGAGGUUCCUCUCCCUGAGGCUGAAUGCACCAUGUGAGAUGGUUCUGUUAUGUGGAUGAAUGUCAUGGUGGAUAGCAGUGCCACCACAUUCCUACAAUCAUCCAUCACUCCACUGCUCAAACACUUCUGCAACCAAUGAUAGGUAUGCUGCCACAUUCUGCAUGGUCUCCUUGGCUCUCAGAUAAGGAUACUGUCAACAGGUUUGGGAUUGCCAAAAAAUCAUAAGGAGCUAUGUCUGAAAAGUUCAGAGAGAGAGAGAGAGAGAGAGAGAGAGAAAGAAUGAGCAAGAGAAAGAGUAGGAUGAAGCAAAGGAAGAGUCAAGAGGGAGGAAGAGAGAGUAGGACAAGAAAAAACAGAACAAAUAAAUCCCCUACACGUCUUGUCUCCAUUCACACAAGCCAUGAAAAGCUUGUCCAUCCCUGAGUGCUCAGAAGCAGUGUUCCACUGAUGAUGUGGAAACUUGAGACACCCAAUCAUUUAAUGGGCUUUAGUAGGUUUUGUCACCAGUCUUCUGUGUGUCACUGACUACAUUUUGAAAUUUUUAUCUGUUCUAUUUAAUUUUGUGUGUAUGUACACAAUGUUUAUGGUCAAUAAACUAUUUAUAAAACUAUUUAUCUGUGUGAGUAAGAUAAAAGCAGUUAUUAUUAUUAUUAUUAUUAUUAUUAUUAUUAUUAUUAUUAUUAUUAUUAUUAUUAUUAUUAUUAUUAUUAUUACACAUUUUCCUCCUUGUAUUUAAAUAUUAUUAUUAUUAUUAUUAUUAUUAUUAUUAUUAUUAUUAUCAUGAAUUGUUCUUGUUUAUAAAUAAAAUACUGUAACUGA